UGAAAAAUAACGUAUAUGAAGAAAGAAAGAAAGUUCGGUAAAGUCUUUUUAAGUUUCAUGUGUUUAAUUAAGCUUAAAGCAAUUAUGGAUUUAUAAAGAAAGGAGAUGUUAUUAGUGUUAGUGAAUUUGUGGAGAGUAUGCAUCCCAUGCUGUCAGGCACACUGUGACAGUAGAGGACUCUUGAUCAAGCUAGAAGAGCCAGCUGGCUGCGCACACAGGUGGAUAAAGCCCCUGGACAUGUCUAGUCUCCACCACACCUACUGGACACCUCUGGACAGAGGGUCCAAACUGUUCACUAACAGCCUGAUUUCCCAAGGAACAGGUCGCAGAGUCCUGCAGCCUAUCCAGUAGAACUUGGGUGGAAGCCAUUGAAAACCCUGACCAGCCGCUUCCUCUGGAGCGAGGUUUGAUGAAUGUCGCUCACAUUAGGGUGACCUCCGAGAUAACCCCUCCUUUCUUUCCCAAGAAAAUUCAUCAGGCAGAGUCGGCCAGCCCCAGGGAUGUGUGAUUCAGCACUCAAGCACAGUUUCUGCUCCAGCCGUGUGACUUCACAUCUCACCUCUACAAGAGGGAACAGCGAAACAACACGUGGGAGCAGUGGCUGCACUAACACAGGUAUUGACCUGUGUGACACAUCAGCAACAGGAUCAGCAACCACCUCAUCACCUUAGUGGGUCAAUCCCUUCCACAAUCCACUGAAUCCAUUCUUGAACCCAGGAAGCAAGCCAAGAACUCAACCAUGGCGCCUUUAUGGUGAACCCAAAGUCCAAGUGGUGUGAAACGGAGUGGGGGA